UGUUAUGUGGCUUAGUUGGCUAAAGUGCCAGACUAGUGACACGGAGUCGUGGGUUCGACUCCCACCAAAACAA
rnacentral:tRNA from 1 species